GCCGGGUGUGGUGGCGCAUGCCUGUAAUCCCAGCUGCCUGGGAGGCUGAGACAGGAGAAUUGCUUGAACCUAGGAGGCCGAGGUUGCAGUGAGCCAAGAUCACACCACUGCACUCCAGCCUAGGUGACAGAGUGAGACUGUCUCAA
ensembl:misc_RNA Metazoa_SRP Metazoan signal recognition particle RNA